AGAGCGUCCUGACUGACCGACGGCAGCGCAGCGCUGCUGAGGGUCGAGCUCAUUCACAGAGGCGGUUUGACCAGCAGUCGUCAGUGUUGGGCGCCUUUAAUAAAUAAUGAAGCUGAGCGCGAGGAGCUUCAGCUGCGGCUCAACUGCUGAUGUCAGGAGCUUCAGUGCUGCAGUUGGGGCUGCAGGCAGGACUCGGUGGAGCUCAGGUCUUUCCUCUCCGGACUCCCACAUGCAAACCAGCCAGGAAAGAUGGUCUCCACGGUCAAACAGUGCGCUGUAAUGUCGGCGAUGUUGCUCUGGUUGAUGCCGUCCGUCCACUCGGGGAAAAAGGUCUUUAAAUGCCUUUCAUCAUGCAGCUGUUCCAAGGAGUCCAUCAUCUGUGUCGGGUCUUCGUAUGUCCCCCGGGUCACCCCCAACGAUGUCAGCUCGCUGAGCAUCGUGAACGGAACCUUCUCUGAGGUGAAGGAGGCGAUGUUCGCCCACAUGCCCUCCCUGCAGCUACUCAGUGAAUGCAGACUUUCCUGAGGGACAUCUGGCCCACGCGAGAGGAGAUUCAGGCUGUGGAGAGACAGUUGUUAUUCCUGCAAUGUUCAAAGAGGUCUAUGAGAAAGUGGAGAAAGUAAACGAGCGUUGGAACUCACUCAGUGUUUCCUCUGACAAGCUCUACAGCUGGGACCCCAAGUCCACCUACAUCAAGUCUCCACCAUUCUUUGAAGGACUGGUACCAUAAUGCAUUACAAAUUCUACAGUACUUUCUGAAUAAGAAAAUCAGUUUUAUAUUGCACACCAAACAAACAGAAUGAGGUCAUUAAAUUGAGGCAGACAGAUUUGUCUUUUUUUUUUCUUUUCUUUUUUUAAUGGAAUUACAGUGCACUACUUGCAUUUGGAGCUUGAUUUACUUAUAAACAUGUGUGUGUUGUAGACCAAAAAGCUCCAGCAGCCCAAGUCUAUAGUGGACGCAUAUGUGCUGCUCAAUUUAGGAGAUUCUGUGACCACCGACCACAUCUCUCCUGCCGGAAACAUCGCUCGUAACAGCCCUGCUGCUCGAUACCUGACCAGCCGAGGGUGAGACACAUUAAUGCCUUGUACCACCUUCCUGCCCACCGGAGACAUGGUAGGAGAGGUGCUGGCUUACUUUGGUUUAGUCUAUGAUGUUGGAAGGAUGAAAAAAAGAUUUAAAAAAAAUUAGAAUAAUAAUGACUUUAAUUGCAAUCAAAUAAUUCCAUUUAUUUUAUUUUUAGAGUUUUAGGUUUAAGGUAGUAACCUCCUUUCAGACUGAAAUGUGUCUGCUCUGGGUCAUCGUUUUCCUUUAUGGAGAUGGAGAAAAUGCAUUGCCUGCAACAAAAUGUCAUGUAAACUGAUCUGUCCAACAGCUGGACGUAUUUGACGCUGCAGAGAAAUAUCAACAGGAAGGGCACCCCCUGCUUGUGCUAGCUGGGAAAGAGUAUGGCUCUGGUAGUUCCAGAGACUGGGCUGCCAAAGGACCUUUCUUACUGCUGGACACAGGGAAGACCUUCCAGGCAAGGAUGCGUUUCGACACUGACGUUGAGCUCACCUACUUCCACCACGGCGGCAUCCUUAAUUACAUGAUCCACAAAAUGACCGAAUAAAGACCCCCUCGUUCCCCUCCAGUGCACUUGGCAAGCUGAACGUUCUAAUCUUUCGUCCACGGGACUGAAUUUACUUCAUAUUUCUUUUCAUUUGGAAGAGCAAACUGAUAUUAUUUUGCCUUAUUUGACUUUGUGUUGGUCAGUUGUUUGUGUGAGCUCAAAAAAUAAUAAUAAUAAUACAUUUCACAUGGAACAAACACUACAUACUGCACAGUCCUUGAUUCAAGGGGGGUGAUGGUGAUAGUGAUGGUGAUGAGGCUAGUUAUUGGCUGAAUCCUGUAAUAACACUGAGAUUCAAACAGCACACUGACUAACAGGCUAGGGAAUAAAGCUUGAGCUUUAGUGAUAACAUGAGGGCCUGUGAUCGAAAGAGCCUAAUAAGGUUAGUUAAAGAGCACCAGCGCAGUUAAACAUGGGCUUAAGGAUCGAGCCUGAGAUUUAGAGAAUCAUUAGAUUCCAUUACUAUAGUGACCGAUCAAGGUGGGUUCACAUCCACCAGUAGUUUUGCCUGUAGCUCUACCUCAGUGGUACCCAAAAAUAUCUUUCAUCUCUAUUCCAGUGUCUGCAUUAAUAUAAUUUUAAACAUUAUGUACUGAUCAUUACUGAAAUAAAUUAUAUUUUUACAUGGAGAAUUCUUUACAAAAAGUUAAAGAUGUUUAAGAACUGCAACUGAAUGUCAGUCUGGUCCAUCCAAAGUAACUGAAAUAGUAACGUUUUGGUACUUGCUAUAUCUAGUCCUCACUUCCUCUUUAACAUCUUUCGUUGUCUUUUUUUAGCCAGUCUAGUAGUAUUACCCAACUAGUGUUACUGUUAACUUACCAAUGAUUCAGACGGCUAAGACUGAAAUGCUGACUUUACUGUAUGCUGUAACAGUACUCAGAUAAUCUGUAAUCGUAAUGCGUAGAUCUUUGAAAGUGCCUGCAACAAACUGUACGUCUCUGCACUUAGACAACAUUAGACAUGCCAGACCGCAUGUAUGCACUUUUACCAUCCGGUCUGUUGAUCAAUCUAUUGUGAGCCAUUCCUGUACAGUAUCUGCUGUGUUUCUGUAGCUGAAUUAAGUUUGUUCGUUUGGAGGAACGUGAAGGCACGAGUGAAGUCCUAAUACAGCCGUGUCUCAGUAGCAUUAACGCACAACUCGCGUUAGACAUUAGCAGCUACCCAAAUACUCCACAUCAUGACUGAGACCAGGAUAGAAAAUAAAUGCAGCGUUUACGUGUUUCAGUAAUGUGUACGUCUCUCUCUCUCUCUCUCUCUCUCUCUCUCUCUCUCUCUCUCUCUCUCUCUCUCUCUCUUUCUCUUUCUCUCUUUCUUUCUUUCUUUCUUUCUUUCUUUCUCUCUCUUUUUUUUUUUUUUUGGUAAUACCAAAUCCAUCAAAUACCCACAGCUGUCUUGUCUUUCUGUGCUCCUCUGUUUUCAAGAUGAUUCAAAUCUGUUAACCGUUUUUAACUUUAGCCAAAUAAAAGGUUUUUCUGAUGAA